rnacentral:rRNA from 1 species
UACGUAGGGUGCAAGCGUUUGUCCGGAAUUAUUGGGCGUAAAGAGCUCGUAGGCGGUCUGUCGCGUCGGCUGUGAAAUCCCGGAGCUCAACUCCGGGUCUGCAGUCGAUACGGGCAAACUGGAGUACUGCAGGGGAGACUGGAAUUCCUGGUGUAGCGGUGGAAUGCGCAGAUAUCAGGAGGAACACCAAUGGCGAAGGCAGAUCUCUGGGCCGUAACUGACGCUGAGGAGCGAAAGCAUGGGGGAGCGAACAGG